GGUGGAUUAUAUUCAAAAGCCUGGCUUCCAUUUUGAUCACCUUGUGUUCUUUCGUUUUUUGUCUUUUUCCUUGUCUAAUCAGUGCAGCGUCUUACUGCACAUACAGCAGUUACUCGCUCCGAUAUUACUGUUACUAUUAUUACUAUGACUACACCGUUGGUUCCAGUGGUGGUGUAAUUGCCGGGGCUGUAAUUGGGGGAGUCGUUGGAAUGGUGAUCAUCGUCACGAUCAUAACAUGCGUUGUUGUACACUGUUGUAAAAAGAAAAACCACGGGCAAGUCAACGUACAACCAACAGGUUAUUCGGCAAGUUAGACAAAUGCAUAUCACAACCCUUAUGGCGGAUAUGGAGCCGGACCUUAUGUGACAACAUCGACAAUCAACUACGGAGGGCAUCCAUCCGCUCCCCCACCCCCGCCCCCUGCCUACCCUCCCCAACCCCCGCAGUAUCAACCCCCUCCGGCAUUCCACCCCAGCGAACCACCCUCAUCUGCCCGGGAUAGCAAUUCCAAAAUGUAAUCAUAUACCGGUGUUGUCUAUAGAACGACGACAGACUUCGUCAAUAUCAUUUUUAUUGUACAAAAGUCUGGCUUUGACAUGUGAUAUUCUGUUCUUUCAUUUUUAGCCGGGAUUAUUGCUCAAAGAGCAAUUGCCGGCUUAUGUCAUCCUGUUCAAGGCAGGAAGUUGACCCCAUAGUCGCCAUUUUAAAGUUACGUGCAAAAAUAUAGUUCUUACUCUCAACCGCUUUUGAGAUAAUACAAACGCUAAAGAAAGCAACAGAAAUAAAACGAAGUUUAAUCUAUAUAAAUAAACAUUAGUAGUAAUGACUUUGAAAACUUCAGUCCUAAGUCAAAGAACAUAGUUCAUUAGCGUAAGGAUUUUUGAUAACCAGUGUUAUCGUAGUUCUCUACACAUACGAGGUAAAGCAGGAGAGGGAACCAGACUGACCUGUUUGUUUACAUACAGCUGCGGUACCAGAUUAAUUCUGAUUCUGACAAAAUCGACCGUGGUAUUAGGAUUGAAAAA